ACCCAUCUGACGAGUUCCAGACAUGACGAAACGCGCGUCCUGGAU
rnacentral:hammerhead_ribozyme from 1 species